AGUAACACGUGAGUAACCUGCCCCUGACUCUGGGAUAAGCCUUGGAAACGAGGUCUAAUACCGGAUACGAGACGCUCGGGCAUCCGAAGUGUCUGGAAAGAUUUAUCGGUCAGGGAUGGACUCGCGGCCUAUCAGCUUGUUGGUGGGGUAGUGGCCUACCAAGGCGACGACGGGUAGCCGGCCUGAGAGGGCGACCGGCCACACUGGGACUGAGACACGGCCCAGACUCCUACGGGAGGCAGCAGUGGGGAAUAUUGCACAAUGGGCGCAAGCCUGAUGCAGCGACGCCGCGUGAGGGAUGAAGGCCUUCGGGUUGUAAACCUCUUUCAGCAGGGAAGAAGCGCAAGUGACGGUACCUGCAGAAGAAGCGCCGGCUAACUACGUGCCAGCAGCCGCGGUAAUACGUAGGGCGCAAGCGUUGUCCGGAAUUAUUGGGCGUAAAGAGCUCGUAGGCGGUUUGUCGCGUCUGCUGUGAAAACUCGAGGCUCAACCUCGGGCUUGCAGUGGGUACGGGCAGACUAGAGUGCGGUAGGGGUGACUGGAAUUCCUGGUGUAGCGGUGGAAUGCGCAGAUAUCAGGAGGAACACCGAUGGCGAAGGCAGGUCACUGGGCCGCAACUGACGCUGAGGAGCGAAAGCAUGGGGAGCGAACAGGAUUAGAUACCCUGGUAGUCCAUGCCGUAAACGUUGGGCACUAGGUGUGGGGCUCAUUCCACGAGUUCCGUGCCGCAGCAAACGCAUUAAGUGCCCCGCCUGG
rnacentral:rRNA from 1 species